CAGUAGCGUAUAUUAAAGUUGUUGCGGUUAAAAAGCUCGUAGUUGGAUCUCGGCGGGCAGGGGGUGGUUCGCUCUUCAGCGCUACUGCCCCGCUUUGCCCGUGUGAUUGGCGGAGGUUUCGGGGUGCUCUUCGUUGAGUGACUCGGAGCGCCGUCAGGUUUACUUUGAAAAAUUAGAGUGCUCAAAGCAGGCUUUUCACGCUUGAAUAUUCGUGCAUGGAAUAAUGGAAUAGGAACUCGUUUCUAUUUUGUUGGUUUUCGGAAAUCGAGUUAAUGAUUAACAGGGACAAUUGGGGGCAUUAGUAUUCAGACGACAGAGGUGAAAUUCUUGGACCGUCUGAAGACUGACUACUGCGAAAGCAUUUGCCAAGAGUGUUUUCAUUAAUCAAGAACGAAAAGUUACGAGGUACGGUAGAAGUAGUAGUACUACGAAGUAACCGUUACCCGUUCGUAGGAACGUACGUCCGAACCGGAACGGACCAACCAACGGGGAA
rnacentral:rRNA from 1 species